UCUCUAUUUCUCUUAAGGAAAGAGUUAGAAGCUCUCUUGAGUCCACGGGUUCACACACCAAAAGAAAGAUAAAGCUCUAUCUCAUUUCUUCUUCAUAUUCUCUCAAAGAAAAUAGAAAACUCAAAGAAAUACUCUCUUAAGCUCUCUACCUCUCAUACUUUCGGGUCCAGCCACUAAAAAAGGGAGAUCCUUUCAUGCAAGAGUGAUUCUAUUCCUAUUUUCGCCUCAAGAACCAAAAACUUGUCAACAGGUUUUAUUUUGGAGUAGAGGGAGCCUUAGUCGAGUUUUUGGAAGGAGCUAGUUUUAGUUUUAUAUGUAUAGAUCCCAAAUUUACAAUUUGAUGUUUAACUUUGCAGUAUUGUGUAUUUUAGGAUCUAAUGAAAAUUGUGUACCUUAAAGCAUUAAGAGAUGUAUGAUGUGAAAUUUAGAAUUUAAGUAAUUGGUGGAUUAUGUUA